AGUGAAAUUGCUGAAUCAUAUGGCAAGAAGACGUUCAGUUUUGUAAGAAACUGCCCAACUGUCUUCCCAAGUGACUGUACCCUUUUGUUUUCCCAGCAGCAAU
rnacentral:pre_miRNA from 1 species